AGAGUUUGAUCCUGGCUCAGAGCGAACGCUGGCGGCACGCUUAACACAUGCAAGUCGAACGAAGGCCCGGAGCUUGCUCCGGUUACCUUAGUGGCGGACGGGUGAGUAACGCGUGGGAAUCUACCUUACGAUGGGGAAUAACAGUUGGAAACGACUGCUAAUACCGCAUACGCCCUUCGGGGGAAAGGCUUAGGCCGUCGUUAGAGGAUCCCGCGUUCGAUUAGCUAGUUGGUAGGGUAAUGGCCUACCAAGGCAACGAUCGAUAGCUGGUCUGAGAGGAUGAUCAGCCACACUGGAACUGAGACACGGUCCAGACUCCUACGGGAGGCAGCAGUGGGGAAUAUUGGACAAUGGGGGAAACCCUGAUCCAGCGAUGCCGCGUGAGUGAAGAAGGCCUUAGGGUUGUAAAACUCUUUCACCCGUGAAGAUGAUGACUGUAGCGGGAGAAGAAGCUCCGGCUAACUCCGUGCCAGCAGCCGCGGUAAUACGGAGGGGGCUAGCGUUGCUCGGAAUUACUGGGCGUAAAGCGCGCGUAGGCGGCGAAUCCAGUCAGGCGUGAAAGCCCAGGGCUUAACCCUGGAAUUGCGUUUGAUACUGAUUUGCUAGAAUUCGAGAGAGGGUAGUGGAAUUUCCAGUGUAGAGGUGAAAUUCGUAGAUAUUGGAAAGAACACCAGUGGCGAAGGCGGCUACCUGGCUCGAUAUUGACGCUGAGGUGCGAAAGCGUGGGGAGCGAACGGGAUUAGAUACCCCGGUAGUCCACGCCGUAAACGAUGAGUGCUAGUUG
rnacentral:rRNA from 1 species